rnacentral:rRNA from 1 species
GGUUAGAGUUUGAUCAUGGCUCAGAUUGAACGCUGGCGGCAGGCCUAACACAUGCAAGUCGGACGGUAGCACAGAGGAGCUUGCUCCUCGGGUGACGAGUGGCGGACGGGUGAGUAAUGUCUGGGGAUCUGCCCGAUAGAGGGGGAUAACCACUGGAAACGGUGGCUAAUACCGCAUACGUCGCAAGACCAAAGAGGGGGACCUUCGGGCCUCUCACUAUCAGAUGAACCCAGAUGGGAUUAGCUAGUAGGCGGGGUAACGGCCCACCUAGGCGACGAUCCCUAGCUGGUCUGAGAGAUGACCAGCCACACUGGAACUGAGACACGGUCCAGACUCCUACGGGAGGCAGCAGUGGGGAAUAUUGCACAAUGGGCGCAAGCCUGAUGCAGCCAUGCCGCGUGUAUGAAGAAGGCCUUCGGGUUGUAAAGUACUUUCAGCGGGGAGGAAGGCAGUGAGGUUAAUAACCUUACUGAUUGACGUUACCCGCAGAAGAAGCACCGGCUAACUCCGUGCCAGCAGCCGCGGUAAUACGGAGGGUGCAAGCGUUAAUCGGAAUUACUGGGCGUAA